GUCCCCAUGUGUGAGGACACUCGAGUAGCCCAACAGAGAGAUCCAUCUGGUGAGAUACUGAAGAAUCAACUAGACAGCCAUGUGGGUGCGCCAUCUUCUAAACAGAUCCUCCAGCCCCAGAUGAGCCUGCAUGUGACUGCAGUCUUGGCUGACAUCUUGACAACAACCUCAUGAGAGACCCUGAGCCAGAACCACUCACCUCAGUCUCCCUUGAGCUCAUGGCCUACCGGGUAUUGUUGCCUUCAGCUGCUAAAUUUUGAGUGUUAUGUGGAAGCUUGUGUCAUAUUACCGUUCAUUAAACCAUUCACUGAUUCCACAGAUAUUUGUUGAGUACCUGCUACAUAUGCCCAAGGUGCACAUUAAGAAGUUGAAAGACUCACCAGAAAAUUUAAAAAAGAAAAGGCUAUACCUACUGGCUUACUUCUGAUUGCUUUGCCACUUACUAGUCGUGUCAUCUUCUUCAAUAUGUCUUUGUUCAAUGACUGAACGACUGAAUGAACACAUGACGAGAAAGAGACUUUUGAACCUGUGGAGUCCAGAGGCUGUGAAAUGAGAUGUGCAACCCCAGGACAAGUGGCUCAGACCAUUUAUCUAUCAGAGGAUUCAUGGAAAGGACUCAGUGUUUACCAGGAUACUUCCAAGGUGCCCUAUCCGUAUAGAGUGGAACUUUAAAACCGGAGAAAAAGUCCAACGAAAUAAGUCAAGUGGAAUAUGUUGUCUUCUACCAUAUUUAGGCAGAGAUCUUGACUAAUUAAUCUUCAAAGAAGUGAAAAUAAUCUACUCUUGAACUUAAUUAUGCAAAUAAAACAAUUCUAAUUUCGGAAA
rnacentral:lncRNA from 1 species